rnacentral:lncRNA from 1 species
UAGGGAUGGGAGAGGGGAAAGGAAGGAAAAACUAAAGGCCAACAUUCACUCCGGGUGACUGUUUUAACAAGGAUGUAGCUGUAGUCCAGCCCUCCUGGAUCCCAGGACAACCUUGCUAAGAAGCCCACAAAAGCAGUGAGGACAGACCAUGGGUAUGAAAGAAGAGUCAACAUUCCUUCAAUCUGAAAGCAUUACAUUAAUUCAGUUUUUCCCUCAGAGAAACUACCAUACCAACAAGCCCUGUCAGAAAUCACCUCCAAACGUGUGGAAUACCAGGAAUGAUCCCUCCUUUCCCUCAGAUCGGAUGUUUCCUUGGCAAGCACUUUGUCUCAGAUUAUCUUGCCAUCGAAUUUCUAUACCACCUCAAGAUGACACUUUGUCUAGCAAAAAGUGAUGCAAAGCUCUUUUUGCAAAAGCCCCUCAAAUUAAUACACCUGAUGUAUUUUUACUAAUAACACUUUCCUUAGAAGCUCCAAAUGUGUAAUCAUGCUUUCGCAGAUGAAAAAAUACUAAAACACAAGAUUAAACGACCUCUCUAAGAUGACUGAGCAAAUCAUCCACCAAAUGCAUGAUGUCUGACAACUUAUGACAUACAAAUGCUUACACUGACAACUCGACCUCAUCCUUGUUUCUGUGCAGAAAAAUAAGGGAAAUCGUUUACUGGCCCAGAAGACCUCAUGAUGUUAUGAAGAUGGCAAAUUCAAUCAGAUCCUCAUUAACUAGAUCAGAAUGAAGCCUGACAGAGUCUUCAUUAGAUCUACAAAAAUCCUGCCUGUUUUAGCUCUGAGUCUCCUGACUUGUUCGUGUCAUCAUAAAUUGGUUGUUUUGAAGUCAGAGAGGACAAAGUGCUUACAGAUGAUGGUCAUCCUCUCUGAGCUAUAAGGACAAGGUCCUAUUAGAAAAACUAAAAAUGAAAUAACAGUGCAGCAGUGGCAAGGCCUGGCUAAAGAAACAGGUUUGCUAGCGGGCAAGAAAUAGACAAAAGAAAAACCCAGUUAUUUAAACAUACCAAACAAAUAACAACUACAAAGACAUCAUCCCAAUUUCAUCAUGGAAACCAAUGUAAACUUUUCUCGUGAAGCUGAAUUACAGGUCACUUCAGUUCUAUUUCAUAAAUUUUACAUUUCCAGUCAGAAAAAUAGCAUCCUUUAUAUCCGAAAAAAUUCAUCUAACCCCAGAUAAGCAGUCUUUUUUUUUUUUUUUUUUUUACAAUAGAAUCAAAUCCUGUCACUUUUUUCAGCAGUGGUGCCAGCAAGACCAGCCAUUGAAAUAAGCAGAGCCAAUGGCCAUUGAGUUAACGAGACUUGAGAGGGGCCAAAAAGCCCGCUUGCCAAUGUGCCCAUGGAGUCCACCAUAAAGUCACUCCAAUGAAUGGGGUACUGCAUUUCCAAAAUGCUCCUGUCACAAAUGCUAAU